rnacentral:rRNA from 1 species
AACCGGGUAGUCCCGGCUGUAAACGAUGCGGGCUAGGUGUUGGGCGGGCGAGAGAGCCCGCCCAGUGCCGCAGGGAAGCCGUUAAGCCCGCCGCCUGGGGAGUACGGCCGCAAGGCUGAAACUUAAAGGAAUUGGCGGGGGAGCACACAAGGGGUGGAGCCUGCGGCUUAAUUGGAGUCAACGCCGGGAACCUCACCGGGGGCGACAGCAGGAUGACGGUCAGGUUAACGACCUUACCCGACGCGCUGAGGGGAGGUGCAUGGCCGUCGCCAGCUCGUGCCGUGAGGUGUCCUGUUAAGUCAGGCAACGAGCGAGACCCCCACCCCCAGUUGCAACCCCGGGGGCGACCCUGGGGGCACACUGGGGGGACUGCCGCCGCUAAGGCGGAGGAAGGAGGGGGCCACGGCAGGUCAGCAUGCCCCUAAUCCCCCGGGCUGCACGCGGGCUACAAUGGCGGGGACAGCGGGUGCCGACCCCGAAAGGGGGAGGCAAUCCCUCAAACCCCGCCGCAGUUGGGAUCGAGGGCUGCAACUCGCCCUCGUGAACGGGGAAUCCCUAGUAACCGCGCGUCAUCAUCGCGCGGUGAAUACGUCCCUGCUCCUUGCACUCACCGCCCGU